rnacentral:rRNA from 1 species
AGCGAACGCUGGCGGCAGGCCUAACACAUGCAAGUCGAACGAACCUUUCGGGGUUAGUGGCGGACGGGUGAGUAACACGUGGGAACGUGCCUUUAGGUUCGGAAUAACUCAGGGAAACUUGUGCUAAUACCGAAUGUGCCCUUCGGGGGAAAGAUUAAUCGCCUUUGGAGCGGCCCGCGUCUGAUUAGCUAGUUGGUUGAGGUAAUGGCUCACCAAGGCGACGAUCAGUAGCUGGUCUGAGAGGAUGAUCAGCCACGUUGGGACUGAGACACGGCCCAAACUCCUACGGGAGGCAGCAGUGGGGAAUCUUGCGCAAUGGGCGAAAGCCUGACGCAGCCAUGCCGCGUGAAUGAUGAAGGUCUUAGGAUUGUAAAAUUCUUUCACCGGGGACGAUAAUGACGGUACCCGGAGAAGAAGCCCCGGCUAACUUCGUG